CCUANGGGUGGCUGCAGUGGGGAAUCUUGCGCAAUGGGCGAAAGCCUGACGCAGCGACGCCGCGUGGGGGAUGAAUGCCUUCGGGUUGUAAACCCCUUUCGGCAGGGACGAAGCGAUUGUGACGGUACCUGCAGAAGAAGCUCCGGCUAACUACGUGCCAGCAGCCGCGGUAAGACGUAGGGAGCGAGCGUUGUCCGGAUUCAUUGGGCGUAAAGAGCGCGUAGGCGGUUUGGUAAGUCGGAUGUGAAAACACGAGGCUCAACCUCGUGCGUGCAUCCGAAACUGCCCGACUAGAGGUAGGUAGGGGAGAUCGGAAUUCCUGGUGUAGCGGUGGAAUGCGCAGAUAUCAGGAGGAACACCGGUGGCGAAGGCGGAUCUCUGGGCCUUACCUGACGCUGAGGCGCGAAAGCUAGGGGAGCGAACAGGAUUAGAUACCCUANUAGUC
rnacentral:rRNA from 1 species